rnacentral:lncRNA from 1 species
GGGAGAAGACAGCAGAAUCAUCUAGUUAUGGAUAGUCAUUUCUACACAACGUUCAGAUUAAAUGCAUUCAAAAUUUCCAGAAAACUCAUCCAUAUAGAGAACUGCAGAUUAAUUGAUGGGAUUUGGACCAUGUUACCAAAAUGUUAAAGAGAGAUACUAACGGAAACAUGAUUUUGGGGAAUACGUGCCAAAAUAUUAAUUACUAAAAUUUGUGAAGUGCUUUGAAAUUUAAGGACCUUUUCUAUUGAUUAUCUCAUUUGAUAUUCACACAAGUCACAUAAUUGGGAGGUGUUGGAAGGGGGCUACAUUUUCACUUGAUUCUACGUUCUAUGUUCUUUUCAUUCCCAAGUGAAUUGGCAAAACAUUCUGAAGGCCUUGGUGGUGUUGUCAGAGUGGAUUGUAAUCAUGUCUAAAUCCCCACCUCAGCCUAUUUAACUUCUGGUGGCUCCAUGAACACUGCCUGCACAGUGGCUUUCUGCAGUUAGCUUUCCAGUUCCAUUAGUGACAGAGUACGACAGUGUGCCUUGAUCAGUUCAAAUCUAUCUCAUAUAAUGGAGAAGUGUUCAUUCAACAUUUGCGGAAUAUUUGCUCUCUGCCAGACAUUCUGCGAGGCACUGACGAAAUUGUGGUGAAUGUAAACAGAGAACGUGGCACCCACUGAAGCAGAGACUGUCAACAACUCUCCAAUGGGCCAGCCCAAGCUACCUGAAGAAUCCCUGGAAGAAGAGAUACCUCCACUAUAUGGACAGAAAGAGGGAGAGAGAGAAGAGAGAGGUCGUUCUUUUCUAUGCCAGGACAGAGAGGUACUCAGGGAUAGAAGCCCAGAUUGGGAAAAAACUCAUAAGAUAAAGAUGGAGAUGCUGAAUCAUAUUAUUAAAGUGGCACUAUGGUCUCAACAUCGUCUUAGUUUCUGAUUUCUCUGAGAUACCCUCCACACCCCCCAAGGCACAAAUGUUCAAUUCAAGGGUGAAAUACUUUCUCAAGAUUAAGAAGAAAAGUUUGUCAAGAUGAAGAAAUUUCGGGGAAAGGUGAAGAUGCAUGGGAAUCUAACGAAUGUAAGAGGCAUUUAGAUACAUCAGGGUGCAAUUAAA